rnacentral:ribozyme from 1 species
GAGCAACCUCAACGGGGUCAACAAUAGCGCUCAGCUAUUAGUCCAGCGGCCAGCAUUUACGGGUGGCCGCGGGCGAGACAACCUGGUACGGGGGAGCCUAAGGACGCGAGUCUAUGGUAAUCCCGUGGCGAGCUCAGUGAGCCGUCGUAACGCGCGGUAAGGUGUCGGUCUCGGGGGGCAACCCCCGGGGCUUAAGGUACGUGCUAACCCCAGGCGAAAGCCUGUGCCCAGAGAGAGUGCCCGUAGCACAAACUCUGGGCAGGCCACACUAGUGGUCGGUAUGAUUG